GCGACAUUAGCUCAGGUGGUAGAGCAGAAGUUUUCCAAACUUAAUGUCAUCGGUUCGAAUCCGAUAUGUCGCU
rnacentral:tRNA from 1 species